UGAUCAUGGCUCAGAACGAACGCUGGCGGCAUGCCUAACACAUGCAAGUCGAACGAGACCUUCGGGUCUAGUGGCGCACGGGUGCGUAACGCGUGGGAAUCUGCCCUUUGCUUCGGAAUAACAGUUAGAAAUGACUGCUAAUACCGGAUGAUGUCUUCGGACCAACGAUUUAUCGGCAAAGGAUGAGCCCGCGUAGGAUUAGGUAGUUGGUGGGGUAAAGGCCUACCAAGCCGACGAUCCUUAGCUGGUCUGAGAGGAUGAUCAGCCACACUGGGACUGAGACACGGCCCAGACUCCUACGGGAGGCAGCAGUGGGGAAUAUUGGACAAUGGGCGAAAGCCUGAUCCAGCAAUGCCGCGUGAGUGAUGAAGGCCUUCGGGUCGUAAAGCUCUUUUACCAGGGAUGAUAAUGACAGUACCUGGAGAAUAAGCUCCGGCUAACUCCGUACCAGCAGCCGCGGUAAUACGGAGGGAGCUAGCGUUGUUCGGAAUUACUGGGCGUAAAGAGUACGUAGGCGGCUAUUCAAGUCAGAGGUGAAAGCCCGGGGCUCAACCCCGGAACUGCCUUUGAAACUAGGUAGCUAGAAUCUUGGAGAGGUCAGUGGAAUUCCGAGUGUAGAGGUGAAAUUCGUAGAUAUUCGGAAGAACACCAGUGGCGAAGGCGACUGACUGGACAAGUAUUGACGCUGAGGUACGAA
rnacentral:rRNA from 1 species